rnacentral:tRNA from 1 species
CAGCAGUUCGCCGACGCGCAUUCGCACCGGCCGGCUCGGCGCCGGCGCGGCCGUCACGAGCGCCGGUGCCGAUGCCGGCACGGCCGCC